CCCCUCCAGCAGGGGGGCGGAGGACAGCGCAGUCGUAAAUGACGUGCUACGCUGUUUGCUGGUCUGCUCCACACACGCAGGCUGCUGGUGAACGCAGCCCCCCAGCGAUGCAUGGUGGCGUUGAACCGGCCGACCCCUGUACGGAGCCGGUUCAGGGCGACCCACUCUUUUGCGGGGCAGGGCCGAGCCGGGGUGGGGCUAUGGUGUUCGGUGCAACAGUGAAUUGCGGAGGUCACAUGACAACAGUGAUCAGAGCUCAGGACUAUUUAAGUGGCGUUAGCAUUUUAGCAACUUUUGACUUGGUGAAAGGCACAUUGUAUGUAUAAGGUUUUUCCGUAGAGUUAAAGCAAAAUAGAGACACCUGGACAACUGAGUAUGCAAAUCAGGAUCCAGAGACAGGAUCCCGACUGACAGGUUUUGUGAGUCAGGAGGUAAGAUUGCAGGUCUCUCUGAUCAUCAAUAUCUUCCUGGCUUUUCCCACCUGAUGUCAACAGAAAGGAAAAUGCCACUUGGGCUCAGAGAAAGAAUUGAUCUUACUGACCAAACAACCUUUUAAAACAUCUCAGGAGUGUAAAUAAGUUGCGAUAAUCCAGUCAUUAUUUACACAGUGGUAUGGGGAACUUUGGGUGCAAAUUUGCUGUGACAUUCUCACAUCACCACUGCAGAUGGCUGGAAAGAACUUUGGAAUUUCAAGAACAGUUUCUUCAGGCUCUUGAACACUACACAACACUAACCUCACCAACUAUGAACUUGUAUGGACUGUGCCUUUGGUUACACUACCUACUUCGGUUAUUCUGCACAAGUAUUACAGCUGAAUGUCUGUUUACAGAGGAAUAUGACUGAAUUUUGGAGCCUUCCCUCACAGUGGGAACUUUGAUCCCGCUGUGUGGGGAUGUCUGUGUUAAAAAUCUAUCGUGCUCUGUGCUCUUUGUAUGGCUGUAUGGCGACCAUACAUUUCACUGUACGGAUUGGUAAGUGACAAAUAAAUGUAUCUUGUAUCUUAUCUUGUCCCUUUAAGUUGCUGCAAGUAAGAAUUCCAUUGUUCUAUUAACAAUAUAUAUGACAAUUAAAUAUAUUUCAAAAAAAUAUUUUUUUAAAAUUAAUGAAGGUGCAAUGGUUUGAUGGUGCAAUGGUUCCCUCUGCUGGGCAGAGAAGAGGUUGCCCUUAAAUAAAAACUACUGAAAUUAGUGACACCAAUUAUAUUUGUACAUUCUUGUUGCUACUGUUUCAAAGCGACCUCUCACUAUUUUCUGAAAGCACUGGGCUGAAAUAAUUUGGCUGUUUCCUAUUACUUUUUGAAAUAAGAUAUUGAUUGCUCCCACAUAAGUAAAUUUGCCAAACUUCCUAAAUGUACCUGGCCAACAAGUAACAUUGGGUUUAGUUAGAGCAUAUUGGCCUUCACCAUUUAUUUUAAUAACCUACACUAAAUAACAUCUCCAGAUUCAAUCUGAAGAAAGGUCUCAUCUCAAAACGUCACCUAUCCAUGUUUUUCUCUAGGGAUGCUGCCUGGCCCGCUGAGUUACACCAGUAUUUGGUGUCUUCCCUUAGUAAAUCAGCAUCUGCAGCUGUUUCUACAUUGUUCCAUUUUGACAGAUUUGAUUUGUGACACAUUCUGCAGGGACUAUGUUUGCUCAUGUUCAAGUCUGCACCUGUCACAAUUAAUUAUGAGCUUCACACAUUCAGCUCAUUAAUACCAUCAUAUAAUCACUUGACAAUCCCAACGACUAUGCCUUUGUAACCUUCUGCCCUGCUAUCCUUGCCGACAUGUAUUGUACACGUGUUCAGUGGGUUCUUUAUCUGACACACGUGAGAUAUGAAAACUUGGACACGUUAAUCAUUUAUUCCAAGGGCUUGUCACGGACAAUCUCUGGAGCAAUCUGCACACAUUAUUCCCGUCCAGAGAGCAGUCACUGGAUGAAUUAUGUCAGGGAUGGAUAUUGAGGACAAUCUAAAUGUCAUAAGGUGGAUUGUUUUAGCCCUAAUUUAAGCUUCUUUUUCCCUCUGUUGCCUUCUAGCCAAAGGUGACAAGGUUGGAAAGCUAAUGUUAAAUGUUGCCAAUGAAGAAGGGAUGCAUCUAGUGCUCAUGUCAACAUGACCUUUAACCUAACAUGUAGCAGAGCAGAAUUUCUGUUAGGUAAUUUGUUCAUGUAAACAACACCAUUUUCCUCUGGUUCACAGAUGCCAAACAAAAUUUAUAGUGCCCUGCUCUUGAUUUCCAAAAAUAUACAAUUUUCGAACGACAAUUUGCAAUUCUAAUAUAUAUUUAAUGUAGUAAAGCUUUAAAUUCUCUCUU